rnacentral:rRNA from 1 species
AUUGAACGCUGGCGGCAGGCCUAACACAUGCAAGUCGAGCGAGCGGCGGACGGGUGAGUAAUGUAUGGGAAACUGCCUGAUGGAGGGGGAUAAAUACUGGAAACGGUAGCUAAUACCGCAUACCAUCGGAUGUGCCCAGAUGGGAUUAGCUAGUAGGUGGGGUAACGGCUCACCUAGGCGACGAUCCCUAGCUGGUCUGAGAGGAUGACCAGCAACACUGGUACGGAGACACGCUCUCGAAUUGUACGGGAGGCACGAGUGGGGCAGAUUGCGCAAGGGGCGCAAGCGUGAUGCAGCCAUGCGGCGUGUGUGAAGAAGGCCAUCGCGUUGUAAAGCACUUUCCGCGUCGAGGCGUUACCCGCAGAAGAAGCACCGGCUAACUCCGUGCCAGCAGCCGCGGUAAUUC